rnacentral:lncRNA from 1 species
UUUUUCUUUUUCUCCAAAAGACAAACUUUUAUUCCAUGCAUUAUUUCUUUGACUUCUCUACACUGUGAGGUGAGUGAAGGUUGUGUCCAACUUGAGGUGGCUAGAAGGGGUGUACCUGGAAUUUUAUCACCUCCCCUCUGAGGCAGCAGUAGGAAUGAGUGGAUAAAACACUGGCAGGUAACGUCCUGUGCACACUGGAACCAACAGGUGUUGGCGAGAUCUCAGGCAUCCUCUCUUUUCCUUCUGAGCUUGGAUCUUCCCCUUCCCCUCUAUGGUGUUUCCUCCAUGAACCAGGAUUCGCAACAGCAAAUUGGAUUUGGGGAUGUUUUGUCACUCCAACACAAAACAGAUCACUAGCUAAGAGGAUAGAGCCUCCUCAGUCAAUGCACUGAACAUAGCCUCGCUGAAUUAAUUCCCAAGGUCUUACAGUGUAGAGUAUUUUCAUUAUGAAGUGCGAGGAGAGAAGCAGUUGAGGAAGAGGUCACUGGAAAUUUAGGAAAGGAAAACCAUGGCAGUUGAAAGGCUUUCCCGGUCUUUGCUCAAGAUCAGUUCCUUAUCUGACAUACUUACUGAACUCUUCUCAAAAGAGCACAGCUGGAUUUCCCUUUUGGUAGUGUGGAGGCUCACACUGGAAGGUGAACCAAUCAUUCCUUGGCUUUGGCCCAGAGGCCAAGAGGAAAGAAAUAAGCAAGGCAUGGCUGGUGGAUUGCUUCCGUUCUUGUGGCAGGGUUAGAGAGUGAGAGGAGACAGUAGCAGACUUCAGGAUGUGCAACUGAAGAAGCAGCCUGCCUGGAAUGUCAGCUAACGUUGCUAGAGUCAGUUGGAGUUCAUUUUCUUCCUCUCCAUCUCAGACCUGCUUUCCUGAAAAUAAUACUUAAAAUAGAGCAGAGUUUCCCAAAGUAUAUGCUGUGGGGGAGUGAAUAGGCAUUACAUACAAAAAAGUUUCCACAGUCAAAUAAAUUUGCAAAACCCUAGGUGUAAAGCAAAGCUAAAGUUACUCCUUGCUGCAGGACUUCUCAGAUCCUUUAAUACACUCACAUGGAUUGUGAAAUCACAAAAGUAGAUAUACUGUGUAGUGGACCUGGAAUCCACUGAGAAACACUAAACUAAGACAGGCACUUUCCUAUGUCUACUCUUAAAUGUGAAUAAAGAGGUGGCUUCUAUGGUGAAAAUUUCCACUGAACCUUUGCAUUACAUAAACCAAAUACUGGAUUCUGGUGAUUGUGUAAGCAUUAGGUUCUCAAGCAGAAUUGUGCCAGGCAGGUAGAGAGUCCACCUCUGGCCUCAGCAUUUGCUCAGGCUUCUUCAGAGCCUAUCCUGCCCCUUGUAUUUCCAAGGAAAGAGACGGCUACUUAGGCACAUGUCCAUUUUCUUAGGUUCCUAGAUGAUUCCAGUAUGUCCCCUUGCUUAAAAACCACUGU